rnacentral:rRNA from 2 species
GGCGGUGCCCUGUGUUCACGUGUGACGUCAAAGUCAGUUCGUAUGCUGCGGGAAAUGGCUGUCGAGGAGGUAGGUCAUAUGCUUGCGUGUGGCUAUUAUAUCUCGGCAUGCUAGUUGUCGUGGUUGGGACUGAGGUGCUUACAACGUGCUGUAAAGUGCUACGAUGUCUUGCGUGGUCGGCUGUUUGGAUCGCUUGCGAUGCUUGUGGCUUUGUAUUGUGUGAUUGAUGUUGUGGUCAACUUUUGCCGUUCGGGACUUUGACGAAAUGGAGCGAUCCGUCCCGUCUUGAAACACGGACCAAGGAGUCUAACAYGUGUGCAAGUGUUUGGGUGUGGAAACCCGAGCGCGCAAUGAAAGUAAAGGGCAGCGCUGGUUGUCUGAGGUAGGAAAUGCUUGACUUGUCAGGUAUGGCACUAUCGACCGAUCAUGAACCUUCGUGGUGAAAGAUUUGAGUUUGAGCACAUAUGUUGGUACCCGAAAGAUGGUGAACUAUGCCUGAGUAGGGUGAAGCCAGGGGAAACUCUGGUGGAAGCUCGAAGCGAUUCUGACGUGCAAAUCGAUCGUCAAACUUGGGUAUAGGGGCGAAAGACUAAUCGAACCAUCUAGUAGCUGGUUCCCUCCGAAAUUUCCCUCAGGAUAGCAGCAGCUUUUUUCGAUAGUUUUAUGAGGUAAAGCGAAUGAUUAGAGGACUCGGGGAAGAAACUUCCUURACCUAUUCUCAAACUUUAAAUCUGUAAGACCUGCAGGUUUCUUAAUUGAAC